rnacentral:tRNA from 1 species
GCCACCCUAGCUCAAUUGGCAGAGCAACGCUUUCGUAAAGCGUAGGUUAUGGGUUCAAGUCCCAUGGGUGGCU